rnacentral:rRNA from 1 species
GAUGAACGCUGGCGGCGUGCCUAAUACAUGCAAGUCGAGCGAACGGACGAGAAGCUUGCUUCUCUGAUGUUAGCGGCGGACGGGUGAGUAACACGUGGAUAACCUACCUAUAAGACUGGGAUAACUUCGGGAAACCGGAGCUAAUACCGGAUGAUAUUUUUGAACCGCAUGGUUCAAAAGUUAAAUACGGUCUUGCUUUCACUUAUAUAUGUAUCCGCGCUGCAUUAGCUAGUUGGUAAGGUAACGGCUUACCAAGGCAACGAUGCAUAGCCGACCUGAGAGGGUGAUCGGCCACACUGGAACUGAGACACGGUACAGACUCCUACGGGAGGCAGCAGUAGGGAAUCUUCCGCAAAGGGCGAAAGCCUGACGGAGCAACGCCGCGUGAGUGAUGAAGGUCUUCGGAUCGUAAAACUCUGUUAUUAGGGAAGAACAUAUGUGUAAGUAACUGUGCACAUCUUGACGGUAACUAAUCAGAAAGCCACGGCUAACUACGUG